rnacentral:rRNA from 1 species
GACAAACGCUGGCGGCGUGCCUAACACAUGCAAGUCGAACGGGGUUAUUUCUUCGGAGAUAACUUAGUGGCGAACGGGUGAGUAACGCGUGAGAAACCUGCCUUUCAGUGGGGGACAACAGUUGGAAACGACUGCUAAUACCGCAUGAUACUUUCCGGGGGCAUCCCUGGGAAGUCAAAGCUUUAUGUGCUGAAAGAUGGUCUCGCGUCUGAUUAGCUAGUUGGUGGGGUAACGGCCCACCAAGGCGACGAUCAGUAGCCGGUCUGAGAGGAUGAACGGCCACAUUGGGACUGAGAUACGGCCCAG